rnacentral:rRNA from 1 species
UACGUAGGGUGCGAGCGUUAAUCGGAAUUACUGGGCGUAAAGCGUGCGCAGGCGGUUUUGUAAGCCAGAUGUGAAAUCCCCGGGCUUAACCUGGGAAUGGCAUUUGGGACUGCAAGGCUCGAGUGCGGCAGAGGAGACUGGAAUUCCUGGUGUAGCAGUGAAAUGCGUAGAUAUCGGGAAGAACACCCGUGGCGAAGGCGGCUCUCUGGGACGGUACUGACGCUGAGACGCGAAAGCGUGGGGAGCGAACAGG